AAUCUCAUAAACUUUCUGGUGCCUAUUAGGCCUAGUUCACACUUCAGUGUUUAGUCAGUGAUUUCCAUCAGUGAUUUCCAGCCAAAACACAGAACGAGUGCAGAUCUUUCCAUUUUACCUUAUCAAUGGAGGCUCCAUUCCUGGUGUGGACUAGGUCUUACACCGUGGUUUUCCCGCAUGAGAAUUCGUGCAUAAAAACCGCAUGUAAUCUACAACGUGUGCAGGCAGCCUAAAGGAAUUUUUCUGUAUAAUGGUUUCAUUGUAUUCAGGCCAUGAGACACACCAGACAAAAUACAAAUCACAUUGAUUUUAGUACUUAAACCGCUUUACUCCCGGACUCGUCUAAUGUCCAAGAUAAGUAUGUGCAACUUUUCAUGGUCUCUAAUUUAACCAUGAGAUGUAGCUUUUAUUAUACAAUACUAUGAGAUUAAGGCCUCAUGCACACAAACGUAUUCUGUUUCCGUGUCCGUUCCGUUUUUUUUGCGGAUAGGAUGCAGACCCAUUCAUUUCAAUGGGGCUGCAAAAAA